UUUUGGUUUAGUUUAGUGGCGGACGGGUGAGUAACGCGUGGGUAACCUGCCCUAUACAGGGGGAUAACAGUUGGAAACGACUGUUAAUACCGCAUAAGCGCACAGGAGCNCAUGCUCCGGUGUGAAAAACUCCGGUGGUAUAGGAUGGACCCGCGUCUGAUUAGCUGGUUGGCGGGGUAACGGCCCACCAAGGCGACGAUCAGUAGCCGGCCUGAGAGGGUGAACGGCCACAUUGGGACUGAGACACGGCCCAAACUCCUACGGGAGGCAGCAG
rnacentral:rRNA from 1 species